rnacentral:tRNA from 1 species
GGCGGCGUAGCCAAGUGGCUAAGGCAGAGGACUGCAAAUCCUCGAUCACCGGUUCGAAUCCGGUCGCCGCCUCCA